CGACCUGGUAUUGCAGUACUUCCAG
rnacentral:piRNA from 1 species